UAAUACACUCAUGCAUCAUUCAUACAUACAUACAUAUGUACAUACAUAUGUAUAUAUACACCAUACACAAAGAGUUCUGCUCAUUUUUCUCUGGGUAGCUAUUCAUACUGGCAGAAAGAUAAUUGUGGAUUUUAAAGAUCUGAACCAUUGAUUGGUGGUAUGGUAUAUGUUCUCCCAUUCCUAAUACAGCUCAUGGUCUUCUUUAUUAUCUAUAGCAAACCCAUCUUCCCCUCACUUGGGUUGUCCAGGAAAUUGGUUAGUUCUCCCUGAUAAAAUCACAGAUUCAGGUUAUAUUGUCUCAGUGAGUCUUUUUGGAGUCUUUGGAACCACUGUGCAUCUUAUCAAGUUGUAUGUUGGAAAUGGAAGUAAGGGAAGAAGCCCAAAUGAAACCUCUGUCUCCCUUAAAAGCACAAAGGUCCCUGCUGUCUGCCUCUUCAUCCUGGGUCUGUCUCUUGUGAUGGACGGGAACCAGGGUCAUCUAUAAGACUAUGAUUCAGAGGAGCUCCUAGAGCAUAAUUUCCAGGGUCAGAGAUUGGAGCAUGUGGAGAGUUAAUUGGCUGAUUAUCGGGAGGCGUGGCAUAUUGUGCCUUGAAUUUACAUGUGUUGACAACCACACCCUAACAUCUAUAUUUAUGAGACAUACUUAACAUUUAUUUGUGAUUUUUUCCCCUUAAAAUCAAUAAUAGUCUAUGUAGAAAUAUUGGAAAACUCAGGAAGGUAGGCAGGGGAGAAUCUUAACAAUUAUAUACCUCCAUUACACAAUGGUUAUGAGGCAGUCCUUGUCUUUUCAGAGCCAUUAAAAUGAUGCAUACAUCCAGUCUCUGUUGGAAAUAUUUUUUUAUUUUGGUAAAUAUCACAUGAUAAAAUAGUUUUUAUGUUAUGUGUGUGUGUGUGGUGUGUGUGUUGUUCAGAGGACAGCUUGCAGUAGUUUGUUUUCUCCUUCCUCCAUGCAAGUUCUGAGGCUCAAACUCAUCACUCCUUGUGGUAAGCACCUUUACCCCCUAGCCAUCUGGUAGACCUUUAUAUGACAAUCUUUGGUGGUACCUUAAACUAUUCUUUAGUGUUGUCAUAUUCACUGGUGGUCAUAGCUCUGGCAAGUGACUUUGGACAAAUUUCCAAGGAAGGGUUUUGGUUCAGAUGCUGAAUUGCCUUCUUACAGAAGCUGUGAAUGCCAGGUCUCCCAGAUUCUCCCACAUGAUCCUGAAUGCCGCCAUGAAUGCCAGGUCUCCCAGUUUCUCCCACAUGAUCCCGAAUGCCGCCAUGAAUGCCAGGUCUCCCAGAUUCUCCCACAUGAUCCCGAAUGCCGCCAUGAAUGCCAGGUCUCCCAGAUUCUCCCACAUGAUCCCGAAUGCUGCCAUGAAUGCCAGGUCUCCCAGAUUCUCCCACAUGAUCCGAAUGCUGCCAUGAAUGCCAGGUCUCCCAGAUUCUCCCACAUGAUCUCGAAUGCCGCCUCCCGUUCUACUUUUACUUUUGGGUUAGAGAAGAGAACGCCAUGUUUUAGCCAGUGGGCUCCGGAUCUAUACAAGGCAAAGAGAGCUUUUGAAUGAGUUGCCCUGGCAUCCAUUCUCCCUUUCUGAUUCUUUCAGGAGGAAAGAGUCUCCCUUGUGGCCCCAUUCGGCUUCCCCAAAUGCCCUGAAUGGUUUCAGAGGGGUGCCUGCUCAGCUUGUUGAACACAGCAGGCAAAGCAGAGCUCCUGUGGUAAACAGUGAUAAAUAUGCCCACGUCAAUCUGGCAAUAAAAGUGAGAGGGUUUAAUUGAUCUAUGGCAACAGGAAGCUUACGUUUUAAAAAUUAAAUUAUUUGCAGUCGCAUCUUAUUUAGCACCGAGGAUAAAUGUGCUGGGUGGCAAAUUGCUUAGAAGAACAUUUCUGAUGGGAGGUUGCUUGCCACUCUUUUUCCUUCUGCUGGGUCGGGGAGGUGGAAAGGACUGGGGUGGGGAGGGAUGUUGUACAGCUUCAGGUAAGAGCUCUGACUCUGCCCUCUUCAUGCAGCCCAGCUGCAUGUCACGAAAUGGGCAUUUAGCACACUGUCACAGCUUCUUCAGAGACAGAUAGACUACACAGCAUUCAUUCAUGUUGCACACAGUUGGGCAGAACUGAUCCAGCUAACUUGCAGAGAUGGGCAGUGAAUGGCUUUGGGCUAAGACCACUCUGGAUUGAGCUGCUUCUAUUGCUUACUCUAUGCUUAACUGGCUUUGGUAUGUGUGCUAUGUGUAACAUUCCUACUAAGUUGAUUGGGACAUAUUAGGUCUUCCAUAAGCAUGGCUACUAUACUAGUUCAAUGGACAGGGUGCUAGCAAGAAGGCUUAGAGACGGUUCAAUCCAAUGAAUUCCCUGGUGAUCACUGGAACUCUUCACAAGGCAAUGAGGGUUGCCUCUCUACUAGCAUCCCAUGUUUGUAUUUCUCUGUGUCCUUUGGGAUGGCCAAUGGGCAGAGAUUCAAAGAAAGUCAACACAUUCUUCUCCUCAUAUCAUAAGUCUUAGAUUUCAACCAUAAAUGAGUGUGCUUAUCAAUUUAGGACAUAGACUUGAAGUGAGGAAGAAAUCUUUGUUAUGAGACUUUGAAACUAAUUUUUUUUUAUUUCAGUGAGCCUGACCUAUCCGAACUGUAACAAAUAAUGUAGUUUUCCAAUUGCUCCUAAUAUUUUGCAGGUUAAAUCAUUUCAUGUCAUAUAAUUUAAAUUUCUGCUAAUUAGGAAUAGGCCCGAGAAGAAACUCUCUAUCUGUAUAUCCCAGGAGAUAAGCUCAGAGCGUGCUCCUUUGUCCCUGGGUCUUCAUUAAAUAGUGUCUCUACAGUUGAGGGCCUGGUACAAAUUAUUUCUGAUAUCUAGCUGUCCAGGAUUUUCCUGGGUCAUCCCUGGAUGGGAUGGUUUUAGUAACAAAGAUAGACUAGGAGUUCUCUACAGGGUGGUGUUACCAAUCAGUCUUUAGCGAUUCUUCCGAGCUGUCACGUUCUGCAUAGGCUGGAACCAGCAUCCCCUUUAAGCUGACCAAUAUGGUUAAGAGGAACUACAGAACAGUGAAACAUUUUUUUUUUGUUCUCAAAGUAUUACUGACCAUUCAGGUGUCCCCCAAAACGAAGCAAAAACACAAUCAAAAGGCAAAAUGCAGAGGCAUCUGACAGGUCUAUAUAACACUCAGCUGGAAGACCCCGAUUUCGCACACUCUCUGGCACGACUCACAGAGACAGAAAACAGUUUGACUACAUUAGGCUAGGAGGAGCACUCAGGGGCAGGUGUCAGCCCAUGAAUGGUUGCCAUGGUACUUUCUUCCUAUCUCUCCAUCUGUGAGUCCUCCUGACUACCUGGAUUUCUACCCACUGAGCACAGAAGGUAGAGCGUGGGCCAUAGAAGGUAAGACAGGGUUGGGAAUGGUGGGCAGCCACAGAGAGUUGUGACUGAUGCAGGCUACGUCUGAGCUUUAUUUUCUCAGAGACGACCUGUAACACACAGGAAGCACUUCCCACUAGCUGUGCCUCAAUAUUUCCUAUAGUAAUUGGGGGUAUUCUAAGCAUCAACUUUUAUUUUCACUGAAACAGUUUUUGUCCUCUGGAACCUGAGGCCUCUUAGCUCUACCCAUCUCUCUGCCUUCUUGUCUGUUCACAGGAUAUGAUUUUGAGGUGUCAGUGAUAUUGCUAUUCAUGUUAUGUCGGGGAGGGAGCUUUGGUGCUUUGAGGGUGGUCAGGGUAGCAAGACCGGCAGAACUUUUAACUCUUUUAUACUUUCUAGGGAAAGUAUAAAACCAGGCCACCAGGUUCUCCACCACAGAGACCUGCGGCUGCAGGAUGCAGUUUGUUGCUUGAUGGCCUUGGUAGUUGUUCUGUGUUUAGUGCAUGAGGCUAGGAUGCUAAAUGCCUUGCUUAGUGUUCAUCUGGGAUGAAACAACAACAACAAUAGCAACAACAAUAACAACAACAAAACCAACCCUCUUCCCCUGAAUGUGUGUUCCACUGAGGACCUGUGGAUGCUUUUGUAGAAUGACUCCCUAGAUAGCCUUCAUGGUAAAAACAAACUGGGCAGUAAACAUUGAGAGGUGGUUGGUGUCCUCUCCAAGGGAGUCUAGGGAUGGGGAGUUGAAGACAUGAUCCCAGCAAUUAUGUUUCUUUUCUUAUUAGCAGAUAGCAGCUAAUGUUAUGCAGGGCUCACUCCUUCCAAGGCCGGGAAGAACACUUCCCAUAUGUGUCUACUAUAGCCCUAUGUUCUCCAAAUGAAACUAUCGGAACCCACAUCUCACACACAAAGUGGCUGAGGCCCAGGGAAGCCCAGAUGCUCACUCAAGGCUGCACUGAUGCUUAGAACAGUCAGAGAGUUGGGGUUGCAUGUGCCAGGUCUGACUCUGGUUUUGUAGUUUUUCUGAAUUGCUCUUAUAAUACAAACUAGCACUAUUUAUUUAUUUAUCUAUUUAUUUAUUUUUUUUGCAUUAUUGUUUUUAAUGACCUCUAAACUUUGGCUUUUCUGUGUAGCAAUGUUUCCUUUUCCCUGUUAAAAUCCCUAACAGCCAGUAGAAAUAGCUAUGACAGCGUUUCUAGUGCACCCCAAGACGCCCCAGGCCUCAGCUAGAGCCACACUACUUCUCCUCCCUCUUUCUCCCGCCUUUUAAAACCAGCUCUAGUUUGGGAAGCUGAGUACAGCAGUGCCCCAGGAGGCCCAGGUGGACUCAGAAGCAAGGCUUCCCAGAGGACUCACCCUGGGCUACAGUGCUUCUCCCUUUAGGCUGUGCAGGUUGGCUCAAAUCCAAGGUGGUGGUCAUGGGAAAAAUUAUUCAGCCUUGCUGUCCCAGCCCUGGAACAGUGGACCUUGGUUUUUGAGUCAGAGAGAAGAUGUAUGUGUGUGUGUGUGUGUGUGUGUGUGUGUGUGUGUGUGUGUUCACUUGCACAUGGGCUCACACGCCCAUACACUCCCUAUCUGAAAGCCUCUUUCGUCUCCUCUGGGACUGGCUGUUGGUGGCUUUAGCUGCUCCAUGUUCCCGGAUGAUGAAAGGGAGCCAUUAUCCUCUUUUUGCUUGGGUGUCUGUGUUUAAUUGUAGGAAUUUAAUAACGACAAAUUCUCCUUGGCUGAGGCUUUUCAUGCCAGCUGUUUUCUCUUUUCCUUUGGACCCUUCCUCAUCCAUGCUGUAGCACAAGGUCACUUAGGGUUUACAAUGAGAUACAAACACACGCGCAGGUUUUCUUUAGAGUUGAAAAAAAAAUAAAGGCUCCUCCCCCAGACCCGUCAUUAUGGAGAUCAGCUGUGCACCCCACUCCCCAUACCCCGUAAGCUGCUCUCUUGACUAUACACAGAACCCUGUUCUUCAUUCUUCAGGGUGUCUGCUUUUUCUCUGGUUAUGCAGAAACAAGAGAUGGGCACAAUGCAGAAGACCAACAAAAGAGGUUUAGAAGGAAAAAAAAAUCCCCAAUCAUUCUUGAGAGUUAUUAAAAACAAUUGGAGGCGAGAGCGAAAGAAGGGCUUCCAGCCCCCGUCCAGCCCAUCUCCUGCUUCUGGGGAAGUGCUUUUUUAAGGAAAUGCACCAUUGUUAAAACUUUUCCUCCCCCCUUGAUGGAUUUAUUUAUAAGGUAGAGAAAUAUUUUCCCCAUAAUUGGGUAACUCUUAAUAGUAGCAAUUGCAUAUUUAUCAGUGUGAGGGGCUGUUAUUAAUGUAACUGUCAGGCCCAAACACAUUUCUGCAUUAAAUCCAUUUAGUAUGUGCAUUAUUCGGGCAUGAAUGUCACCGGGACAUCAAAGCCCCGUAGGCAUGGGGGCUCAGUGCCCUGCUGCGGCUGCCGAACAGGCCCUUGAUCAAUAAAUGUAACAUGUUAAUGCAGAGCAAAUAGAAUAAAAGAUUUCUUUGACAAGACAUGAAAAAUCACCUUGUGGCAGCUGGCAUGUGAUGCAUUUCUGGGGGAGACACCAGCAAAGUUGAUCUGACAAGUAAAGAGAGGAGAUGAUGGCUGGAAGGUGCUUUUGUUUCAAACUUCUUUCUUGACCUGUCAGGUUUUGAAGGCGCCUCAAUGGCUCUUUUUUUUGUCAUGUGAAAAUUGUAGUCUUAGGUAGUUAUGAAGCAGUUAUCUCUUCUCGGGAUUGUGAAUGCUGCUGUUUAAUUGAUUCACUUAGCAUUUGAAACUGUCACGCAUUAAUAAUUGCGAAAUCCUGUAGAUACUGCGCACGGAGUGUGUCACGCUUAAAUGUGUAGUUAUCAGAAAAUUAAUAUCCUUAAUGAACCAGUGCUUUCAAACUAACAUUGCAUGAAAUCUCUUUGGCCCUUUCACUUGUGAAAGCCACAUCCUCCCGUUUGCGGAGAAUCACCCCUCGACAGUUUGCUUUCUUGAUGCCCGACAAAUGCCAGCUUUGCUGUGGGUACAUCGCGUGCUCAAUGACAAUAAAUAUAGUAAUUAUACUGGAGUUAGUAAUUAACAUAAUUGUAGUCAAUUACGACAAAUACAGUGCAGCGCUAAAUAAACGAGAGGAGGAGAAAUUAGCAAGCUAAUUGAUUUGUCUUUACUCCGCUUUCUAUUCUAACUGGCAGGGCUGUUUUUCUUGGGGUGGCGUGGAGAGGAGGGGAAACUCCCCCACAAGGAUUGUUUACAAAUAACCGAUUUUGUUUUGAAGCCACUUUGUCUUUUGACUUAUUAGACUUCACCCCUACUCUGCUUAGCAAGGGGAAAAGAAAGGGAAAGAGAUUUUAAACGCCAAGGGAGCGUUUUUGCUAAUUUAGCUACAUUGAGCUGAUCGCUGAGACUAAGGCAAAGGCGUGAUUUACCUUUCCCUAUGGCUUGGGGAGUUACAUAGCUUUCUUUUUUUUUUCCUUUUCAGCUAUUGCUUUGGUAAAAGAAACUCUGUGUGUGUGUGUGUGUGUGUGUGUGUGUGUGUGUGUCCUCAGACUCCACCAGCAAGGCUGUGCUUUGUGGCAUAUGCGUUUGGGGGGUGGGUAUUGUAUGUGUGUCCUAGUUCUAUCAGCUUUAUACUGUUGCCUUGGUGGAAGGAAUAAGUGCCUUUUGCUUGGAUUGGUCUCCCCUUAGUCUGGGGUACCUUUAUCCUUUAGCUAAGGAAGAAAAGGCAUGGGCAGGACUGUUGGAGAGGGCAGAGGAGGGGCUCAGUCCUGGACCCCUGCUCAUGGUCUCUCUCUCUCUCUCUCUGGCCUCACUUCAGGGCUGUUAGGGUCCUGGGCACUCACACUCCUGAGCUGCCUGGAAAGUUUGUGCUGGGGUCUCACUGCCCAUUUAUCUCAAGCUGGUUUAUGCUGCGCUGCCUGGAGCCCUGGUUAAUGGUGUUUAUCAUGUGCCUCUCUUCUUUGUUCACCCUUUCCAGUGUGGCUGCUGUUCAUACCGCUUAGGGUUCACACCGUUCAGAGAGAAACUGCGUAUUUGGAGGCUCGGGGUCACAUCAGCCCUGUUUAUUCUCACAAGUUUUAGACACAGAUUUUUUUCCCCCUUUGCGUCUUGUCACAUGUUGAGGGUUGGUAACCAGAACCUUUGCAGGUUUGCGUUAUAGAAGUCUUGCCUCAGCUUUCCCGAGAAAAACUGAAUGCUUUUAGAAUAUGAUUUUUUUCAAGCAGUUCUCAUUAUUUCUCUAUCUCACUUACUUACAGUAUUCCUCUGAAAAGCCAAGGGCUUGGGAAAGCAGGUAUUUGUUGGGUUUUCUUCCUGAAGGUUCUGCUGCAUAGCUUUUUAGUCUGAUACAAAGGGAGUUGAGGGCAGUGGUUUUCACGGGACAUAGUGCAUAGAAUCAGGCAUGACCUGGCAGGGAGUUUGCCUGUCCUGGUGCCCUGAAGUGCUGCCACAUCUGUGAACACCAGGUUGUGCCCAGACAUGGCUUGGUGUGGUCAUCUUUCACGUAUGAUUCAUUUGGAAAUCAAUUUCUGAUAUCAAAUAUUUACAUAUAAAGAGUCAUUUAAGUUAUUUACAGUAUUUGUACAAAAUGUUUCCCCUCAUGAAACCUCAAAUUAUUUUAAUAAAUGCAUAGGACAUUUCUGAGGACAUUUUUCCUUGGGCAGUUGGGAGAGGUGUGGAAGACAUUUGGAACUUCAGCCUGAUGUAAUCAGAGAGGGUCCAGACGAAAUGGGGAGAUUCAUACUGAGAGCUUUGUUUAAUCAGAAAAGUUCAAUCAAGCUCGGGUGGUAGGCCUCUAGAGAGGGCAUCUGCUCUUGUGUGGAGGCCUGUGAAAGGUGUUGGGAGUGUGGGCAACAGGAAGCAAGAGAUUGUAUGACUACAGAGAGAAACCUGGCCUCUGACCACUGUCAAAACAUGCUGUUGGAAUCAUAUUGUCUCUUGCGUCCCGACCUGGCUGCUGGUUUCCACAGUCUGUUCUCUCUUGAAUGACAUUCAGAUGUUUAGCAGAAACACCCAAGAUGUUGACAAAGGAAGCCAUUGAAUCUUUAUCACUGCUACAAGAAAGUUGGGCUAAUUAGAGCUAGCUUUGUUUGGCUCUCCAUUUGCUUAAGAAAUAAUAGCACAAGGGAUUUUAUUUUGCAUUCUUUUAAAAUAAAACACGGUGUGCAAAAGUUCCAUACCCCCAAGACCCUAUUCUGUUUCUCUUCCACAUACGACAUCUCUGAGGCUAAAGCACUGGAUUUGUGAAAGUUUUGCUCUUUGGAAGUCCUAAUUUUUUGUUGUUUUUUGGUUUGAUUUUCCUUCUUCCUUUUGUUAUUUGAUGGGCUCUGUGGCUGGAUCGGUACAGAAUGUGUCUGUGGGGUUGGUGGCAAGGAGGGCAAGGGAGUGGCAGGAUGAAAGCUUUCUCUCUCUUGCCUUCUGAGAAGCUGUGUGGGUAUGCACCUGCCCACUGGCAUAGUCUUUGAGGGGAGUAUGUUAGAAUUGCUUGGUGGCAUGCUUGCUUUGUUUCAGUGGUAUAUCUUUCAGGAUAUCUUGAUCGUCCCCUCUAAAUGCAUCAGCUUGCCUCCUAAGAGCAGAUGAUGGCCUAAGACUGGGGAAGGAGUGUGGGAGGCAGAUGUCUGCCUCCGUGCUGACAGUUGAGCAGGAGAAGGUCCUAAGCUGGUGCACUUUUGUGAAUUCUUCUCAAAUACCUGAGCUGGAUCAACAUCACAGAAAGCCAGCUGUCAGCCCACUGCAAGUGGAAAUAGCCAACCAUUAUCCUGAAUUCUAUUGUUGGAGCUGGGCUUUAGUUAAAAAAAAUUCAGCCUCCCACAGGGUUUAGAGAGACUAAGCCUGGAAGUGACUCCCCAAAGUCAUUGUCUAGUUCCCUCCUUUGGGGAACACUGGACUUGUCCAAGCCCCAUGGCUUGCAGUUUCAGAAGACCAACGAGAGAGAGAAAUUUAACUGUCUACUUGUAAGGUUUAUUUUAUCGUUUUCCUCCUUAGCUGGAGGUGGAAGUCAGCCUGGGGCCUGCUAAUGUUUAGAGGAUGCCAGCAGGAUAUAACAGUCUUUCUAACUGUCAUGGCCAUUUGGAUCCCUCUGUGCAAGUGCGUGUGGGUAGGCUUUCUCCAAGACCUUGCUUGGUUCAUGCAGCCUUGACAACAGAUACAAUACUUGAGGAAGUACCUGUAGGCAUGGCUCAGGAUAGCAUGACUUCUUCAGAGCUGUCUGUCCUCAGAGGCCAAGAGCAUAGACAUUUGCAUUUUCCCACAUACCUAGAUACUAUCCUAGACUUUCAGUGACAGACAGGAUCCCGUGAAGGCUUUGAUACUGGGUUUGAGUGUAGCUGGAACUUAAACACAGAAUGGUAUCUCCUGCUAAAGCUUACAUGCUCAAUGUGGAGAUAAAGUGAUUCAGUUGGAGUGAAUACAGACAACUGGAGCAAAGGCUGUGUUCCUUCCCAGAGAAUUUGGAAAACUCUAGAAUGCCCUCUGCUGAUGUCACUAGUUUGUUGUCACUGAGUUAGUAAACAGAAUUGAGGGGUGGCAUGUAUGGGCAUGGUGCCAGGGAGGCAGGCAGAACAGCUAAACGAACCCAGGUGAGCCUUAGGAGGCACCCACAUGGGUGUCCCAAGGCACACACAGGACAGUCCAGUCCAGUUAAGCAUCAUUUAAAUGCUGGUGUCCAGGAUAUUCUCAGGGGGAGGACUCCAUCAAGGGUAACUUCACAAAGUGAUGGAGACCUUGUCAAUUACAGAGGAAGGGCAGGAUUGCCCUGUUGGGUCAAGAUUUGUGGAUUAGGAAAGUGGCUUGUAUAACAUCAGGUUUUGGAACCAGGCCUUUCUUUGGUAGGAUGGUGAGACCAUGGGCUUUGUACCAGGAUCCAGGAAGAGACAACUGGAGAGCAGGGUACACUUCUUCCUGCAUGUGAAGACAUAACUCCCAUCCUGUGUAGAGUUGGGCUGGUUGUACCACGUUGGCAAUGUUAGAGUCUUUUGGGGAGGCUAGUCAAGUAAGGAAGGACUAGGGGAGAUAUGCGUCCUCCUGAAGCCUUCACUGGAGUUACAGUCACGGGGCAGGAGAGAAGCCACCUCUAACUGAAGAAGGGUAGCCCAUUUGCAGGCUGAGCAAGGACCAAGCAUGCACCCUGACAUGCAUACAUGGCAAUUAUGUUGUUAGGAGGAUCACAGCUAAUGGAGUUGUUCUACAACUUGAGCGGCAAGCAUGCAAGACCUCUUUGUACCCACAAAGCCCCGUGGGCUGGCCCUGUGCUCCUUCAGAAGGGGAGAAGCUGGAUUUUCAGAAAUUAUGUUCAUUAUCAGUCUCCAGUAUGCUUAGGGGUUCAGUCUCCCCUGGGGGAGUUUGUACCUCAGUGGUUCUGUACAUGGCGUGGGGCUCCCAUCAUCAUCCACUGAAAUGCAAGCAUGUGGCUGGUCAGUGGCAGGCCAAGAUGGAAAGGUAGCUUUGCCCUACCAUUGAAUCGUCUACUCUGCACCGCUACACACAAACAACUCCACUGCUCCAUCUUAUCUUCAUGUUCCUUUGCUGGAAAACUGAUGUAGGUUGAUAACACAACAGAGGGGAAUCCUGUCUUCCAAGCCUUUGAAAAGGGACCCCUUCUCCGCCCCGCAAAGGCCGUUGCUGCUUUGUUCUCUUCCUAAACUUAUGUUUGAUUUUAUCUUUUCUUCCCCCAAGAGGCAAUAAAAUUCUAGGCUGUGCUGUGAGUGCUGGCGUACCUCAGAGAGAUAGCAGGUUGGGUUCCAGACUGCUGCAAUAAAGUGAAUGUCGCAAUAAAGUGAGUCACACAAAGUUUUUGAUUUCCCAGUGGAUAUAAAAGUUAUGUUUACACUGUACUGUAGUUUGUUAAGUGUGUAACAACGUCAUGUCUAAGAAAGCUGACACUCUAAUUAAUUUAAUUUCUAAAAAGAAACUUUACUGCUAAAAAAAAUGCUAAGGGUUAUCUGAGCUGGUAGAAAACCUGGUGCUGAUGGGCUUCUGUGAUGUGGAGUUGGCAUAUCUGUGAGGUACACUAAAGUGAAGUGAGGUACUCCUGAUUUUAGAAGUCUGUCUAGAGUAUGGUUGUGUAACAUUUGUUGUCUUCCUUCUUUAUGGACCGCCAGGACCCUAUCUGGUUCCAUCUCUGGUAUGUUUUGGUCCUGUUCUUGAUUUCGUUCAUCUGGACAACUUUUAAGAGCCCAAGUCUUUGUUGCCUCAAAGAAGUCAUCUGUGGUCUCACUCCUCAGGGUCAACUCAGGUCGAAUAUGCUGUUCGAAUGCUGGUCAGUCCUUAAGUUACCCCAAGGCACUAUUGACUGUGUCUUUGCUUUUAAAUGAGAUGCUGAAUUCUUGCUAGCUUACAGCUGAGAGUCACUGUCAGAGACCAGAGUGCUUAGGCUGGAGGCAGAGCAAGUAGGUUAAGGAGAAGACACUACAUGGCAUUCGUCUGUAGCCCAUCUUACGUUCUCUGUGAGUUACUGAAGAAGCCAUUUAAUCCUCACUGUCAUCUUCCAGACAGGGAUAAUGGUGCUGGUCUAGCAGGGUCAUGAAGAUCAAAUGUGAAAUAUGAGUUUUGUACUUGUAGAGGUGUCCUGGCAGAACACCGAUCCCCAGAGCACUUGUCAAUUCUGAUUCUUUUGUUUGUGAGCAGAAUUAUUUUAAGGGUUGUGUGGCCUUGGUAGGUUUGCAAUGGCAGGGCUCAGAGUGCAAAAUAUUGGGUCUGAAUGGCCAGGUUUUGGGAAUACAGCUGAGUGGUGGAGCACUUGUCUCGCAUGGAUGAGACUUUUUGAUUUAAUCCCCCAUAGUUAAAGACUAAAUGGAAUGGCCACACUUCCCUUGGGCAAGGACAACGGAGAGAACUUUCCCCAAUUUAAUUCUGUUCUAAGGGGAGGGGAGUAGGGUAGGAAGAGAGCAAAUCUUCAUUAGAGUACACUGAGCAUAAUUAUUAUUAGCCUCCAUGGAAUAUUAAGGAGGGCCGUGCAUGGUGGGGCACAGCUGCAAUCCCAGCUCUCACAGUGUGAGGCAGGAAGUUCUUGUGUUGAAAGUCAACCGGGGAUGCUUAGUGAGACGCUGUUGCAACCCUCCAAAGGAAUAUUAAGUGUUACAUAGGAUAUGGCGAGACUUUAAGAAAGCCGACUGCCAGAAUGAAAUUCCAUUUUAUUUAAUGAUUUCCAGUGACUUACUGUUUCUUUAAGUCUACUUGUAUUCAUGAACUCAGACUGGGGAGGACUUUUCUUACCCAAGCCUUUUGCCUUGGGCUGGAGGAUCCCUCUCUUUACCACCUCCUACAAACCAGGAGGAUCGCUGACCCAACGAGUAUUUCCUAGUAUGGCGUUUGGGAUUAUUCUUACAAGCUCAAGUUUGAUUUUCCUGCAUUUUAAAGAAGUUUAUAAGAUAUGAUGUAUGUGAACAUGUGUGUACAUGUUCAUGUGUGUGGGUAAGGACAAGCAUAGACCAUUCAUAUGUGUGGAGGUCAGAGGACAUCCUUAGGUGUUGGUCCUUACUUUUUACUUCGCUUGAAACAAGGUUCGGGUGUGGCUGGAUUUCUGCCUGUAAUCCUAGCUCUGUUAGGGGUAGAGGUAAGAGGCUUGCUGGGGCUUGCCAGCUUGUAGCCUAGCACCAGUUUCAACAAGAGAUUCUACCUCAUAGGAAUAAGGCGGAGAGAGAUAGAACAGGAUACCUAAUGUCCUCUGAUUUGGGCACAUACAUGCAUAGGAGCAGACAUCUACACACAUGUGCACGUAUAUCUACUCCCCAUGUAGUAAAUAAACAAAUUUAGUUUUUUAAAAGUUCCUUUUACUCUCUUGCAAUUAUAAACAUCAUAGUAACUAUUUUAUGCAAAUAUAAAAAUUCAGAAAAAUAUACCCAAGGAAUUAAAAAAACAACCCACAAUCUUAUUAUAGACCAAUAAUCUCUACUAACAUCUCAGUAUGUAUAAGGUUUUACAAAAGUAGGAUUAAAUUGCAUGCAGGCUCUUGCAGCCUAUCCUUUCUUUUAAUGCUUUAUGAAGCUUGGUUUUCAUGUUUUUUGUUUUUUCACUGACAACAUAAUUUUUCUUUCAGAUAACUGUGCCAAUUUCAGUUAUUAUUCAUUGCCUUAUUGUUUUAUUUAUAAUGUUUAACAUGUAUAUAUAUGUAUAUUUUUCUACUUUUUGCUGUUAAUAAGAAGUACUUUGAGGGCCUUCAAGAUGGCUCAGCAGAUAAAGGGGUUGGCCAAGAAGCCACCUCACUUCAACUUGAUCCCUGGGGCUUGGAUUGUAGAAGGAGAGAGUGAACUCUAGCAAGUUGUCUUCUGACCUCCAAAACUGCAACAUGGCACACACACACACACACACACACACACACACACACUAUGAGGUAAUUUGUCAAAGAGUGAAAUCACCGAACUAAUCAUUAAAUCAUUAUUUAAACAAAUCUUUCCAUGAAGCCUCUGUAGGGAAAUAAAUCUCCCUCCUUACUAUAUAUCACUAGGUUUAUGGCUGAGGCCCUUGUAACAAGUCCCAAGUUAAUAAGUGAAAAGCACACAAAUUUAGGUAGUAUAAAGACUUAUAAUUUUAUUAUGUUAAUGUAAGUGCACAACAAGGGGACCCUCAGAACUGAAAGCAUAAGGAGGCAGGGAAAGCUGUGUGUAUUCUAUGCUUGAUUUGAUGGAAAAAGUAGAUAAUUGUGAGGAGGCAUGGUUGGAUAUCAAAGUAUGAUGCUGGGAACCAUGAACCUGGGGAGACUUAGCCCUGGCUGUCCUAGAACUCACUCUGUAGACCAGGUUGACCUUGAACUCCCAGAGAUCCACCCGCCUCUGUCACCUAAGUGCUGGGAUUAAAGGCAUACACUGCCAUGCUGGCUUCUCUUAAUGGCCCAGAGAUGUGCUUCAGGUGAGAAGAACUGGGGGAAGCUGAGAUGGACCUUCCUGCUUCUGCUGUCUAGCCACAUAUCGAGAGGCUGUAUUUUCGAGCAGGGUAGUCUUCACUCCCUACCUCCUUUCUCCCUAUCUCCUGUAUCGCUCACAGAGUGUCCUGGGUUUGGCGUUUUCUCUUUCACGACUGGAGAUGGAGAGGGGGUUGUCAUAUGUGACCUCCAUAGGAUCCAUCAUUCUGAGCAUCUUAAUUAAGCCCUGCCAUCUUCAUGUACACACUACUUGUGUGCAUUUAGCUCAACUUGCAGAUUUGCAGAACAUUUCACAGAGGGCAACACUGCUUCCUACAGGCCUUCCUCCCUUCUCUGUCCAUAGGUCGCCAUUGGCUACUUCUAGGACACUGGUAACUUCUGUGCAGAAAGUUCCUUUGCAAUCCUCUGACCUCUACCCACAACAGUGCUAGGAUUACCUGCAGAAAUCCUGCCACAUCCAGACUUUGUUUCAAACAAAGUAGAAAAUGAGGACCAACACUGAAGGCUGUCCUCUGACUUCCAUACAGAUGCCUGGCAUAUACACGCCCUUAUCCACACACAUGGAUAUGUACACAUGUGUGCACAUACAUCAUAUACUGCAAACUUCUUUUCUGCACGGUCUUUUGCCAAAAAGGGUGUGGGGUGGGGCCCUGCAAGGCCUCGAAGCUGGCUGGUGGGGGAAAGCAAGACACCCAAACCAUUUUCAGCUCUGCAUGUGCAGAUCCAGUGUUUGAAGCGUACCUACAUUUACCUGCUCCAGCAAGAGGCAAUCGUUUUGCAUUUUAAUGACAAAUCAAGUACGCUAACUUGCAUUUGAAACGAAAGUGCCUUAAAUGUCUCUGGCUGUCAGAAUGAGAUGUUAGGAGCUUGAUGAAAAGCGAACAAAGAAGACAAAGUAUGAAGCCUGGAUACAGUGCAAAAUGAAAUAAAACCUUGUAUGGCCUGUCAGGGGUGUCAGUUGAUAUUCAUAUCUAAAGCACAUUAUAGCGUUACUUUGCAGCCUACAGCUUACUCAUCUGUCUUGUUUAAUUCAUCACAUUGGAGCCCACAUCUUUUAAGUCUCGUGUGUCAACAAUGGAAGAAAUCUGUUAAUUGACAAAUGAGUGUCACAAAUGUGAAUUGGUGCCUUUACAUCAGCGGCAGGUGUAGUCUCUUUUGUUUUUUGUUGGAUCUAUUAUUGGCAUAAGCCAGUGUAAGACAUCUGUCUUUGUCGGAAUGAGAAAUGACAGGCCUUCUUGGCUGUCAUUGUCUUAGCGCGUGCUCAUUCUGUGAGAUACUGUAUAAAGAUAAAAUGUCAGUUAAAAGAAUAUGAAAAACUAUCUGGAGGAAGUCCUUAAAUUACUCAGAGAGGGGAUCCGGGAAUUGGGGUUGGAAUUGAAAUUCGAGCAUUUCACUUUGCAUCCAUCACACCUAUUUAAAAAUAAUAUUUCCCAAGGAACAGGAUGAAGUGAUCAAGCAUUUAGGGAAACGUUAUGUUGUGUUGGUAUAAUUAGCUUGAUAAGGUUAGCAGAAAAUUCUUUCUCUGCGAGACAGGGAUCUAUUUAUUGCAGGGUCAUCUCUCAGACAAGCACAGAAUUGUCUUAGUACAAAUACUCCAGGUGGGAUCCCAGGCACUGAUUUGCAUGGAUUUGGAGCUAUUGAAAUUGUUCCCCUCCAAUUUCCCAUUCAGCUCUCUUCCUAUUUCAGACUGAUGAGAAGCAUAAUGGGGGGGGGCAGUCUUAGAGUGACAAGGUAGCGAGCAUGGAGAGAGCGGUGUGUGUCCUGGUGUGCUGAGUGAGUCACUCAUGUCUGUGCACCUAGGCUCUGUGGAUUGCUCACGAGAGUGCUGGUUGGAGGAGGUAACAGGCCUGGUGACGGAAAACCAUUCUUUUCUUCUUCUCUCGACACUUCAGCGGGAGCCUGGACAUCAGGGACGGUGAGGACAAGGGGACUUCAGUGAGACAUGUCCUGGUCAAGGAUGGGAAGACUCUAAGGAGAGCGGUGUGUGUCUGAUGAAGUUGGUGUAGGGUUAGCCAGGAUACACUGCUUGUCUCACAGGUUCCUACCUAGUGCUUACCUGCUGUUCAGCAGACCUAACUCAAGUGUCCUGACCAUCCUUCCCAUAGGACACCUGAGGUAUGCCCCAGACACCACAGAGAUAUGAGAAAGGGGACUUCUUAGACGGGACUGUCCCAGAUGGCUUCAACAUCAAGCAAUUAUUCUGAGUGGAAUAGAUCCACAGCAAGGCCUGUAAUUCUGCUAGUCCUGGGAGGACCUUUCCCAGGAAGGCCUCAAGCCCUCAAGGCUUGCCUAUCCUUCCUUUCUCAUUUCAGCUCGUCGUGACUCAGUACAAAGCUUACCCCUUUCAAGUCACAAAAGCACACAGUGAACCAGGGAGUUGUUGGGAGGAUAGAGUUGGUAUUUUUCUGAGGAAACUCUGGAAAACCCAUUUUCUUUCUUCACUUUCCCCUCCCUCCCCUGAGUGUUCCCCUCCUUCUUUUCAGAUUCUACGUGUGGCAGACAUUUUCUGACUGACCCUUAAAUUCUCUGUUUUGGAGGGGAUUUUAAUUUUGCUUUUAAAAUUAAAACAAGGUUUACCUGAUGCUGUUAAGGCGGGCCAGAGAGAAAGGGAGGGAAACAGACUUUCCAAGAGAGUUCACAAGCUGAACCAAAGGCCCUUUUCUACAUUAGCCAGGAUGCUUUUGCCACGUCGGGAGAGGGCUGUUUUAUUUCACUGGAGGCCCAGGGUUCACAGAAGCAGGGUACCAGAGCACGGAGAGUGGGCAUGUGUGGCUGCACACAUCUCUUGUUCACCUUCUAAAAAUGGGCAAGGCAUGCACGUCCACCUCGUGUUUAUCUACACACACAUCUGUGCGCACAGACACAGGCCAGACCCGUGCGCAGACGUCCUUUGCUGAGCACACUGAAGGACAUCAGAAGACCAUUUUUUCCCCCAGUCCCUCUUUCUGCUUUUCACGGCCAGCUGUCAUAGAGAGUCUGAAACAGACACACAAUUUAUUGGGUAGUGUUUAGAAACCUGUCGGUGGUAACGACUGUAGCUCUGAUUUCAAUUAACACCCACUAAAUUUAGGCAAACUCCGCGCAUGUGUGGACCUGUUGAAUGCACUUUGCAUCACGUUGCAAAAAAAAUCUGUAGUGGCAAUAUUUUAGAAAAAGAUGGAGCCUACGUGGUCAAGUGGCUUGUCUGUCCCUUCCCUGACCUGGCACCUGGUGGCAGCUCUUCUGUGUAAUGCAGGCUUUGAGAGUCUGGUUUGGGUGUUUGCAAAACAACUUCUCAAUUGCUGAGAGCCCAGCUAAAGUUUUAGCAUCCAAUCUGGCUUACGGAAAUACUUCCUUACAGUUCAUAAUUCACCAUUUCUCACGCCAUGCUCAAUCCCCUUUUCUGGCUAUUUGGGUGAAAACAGCUGGGGAAGGGCCACAUUUUAUGAUUAAGGCACUAAAAGAUUAGCUGUAGGCGCUGCCCCAUCUCUGGGGCUAUGGAACUCUGGCUGCUGACAGCAGAUCUGUUUUGAAUCGGACUCAGAUUAAAGUGAGUGAAAAUCAUUUGGGGGCUGAGGGCUCGAAAGGUCACACAUGUAAUGAAUUGUGGGUGCUUGCCUGGCUUCCCAGGCGAGAACCGUAAGCAAUUAUUAAAUGCCAUUGUGUGUCAGGAAGGGUUGGUUGGUGGUGACUUUGAAGCCUUCCAGAAGGGAGCCUGGGAGAUUGCAAGAAGUGGUAAUGAGGCCUUCACCGAGAGGGACUUGGGGGGUGGGGUGCGUGUGCUGCAGCUCUACUUGGGCAGGAAAAUUUUAUUGCAUUCUCAUCUUUGGCUUGCUUGUAUCUGUAUCAAUGAAUGUAGCAACUGUGGAGGGAUGGGUUUUGGGGGCAGGGUUUGUUGAUGGUACCUUUCUCCUUUGCCUGGGUGAAUUCCUUCCAUGGCUCUCUGCUGGAGGACUAGGUGUUUUUGUCCCUGCCUUGAGCUGUCCUGCAAACGUUAAUAUGCACUUAUCAACUACUUCUUUAUUAAGGCCAUCUCUACCUAUCCUGGGCAGCUGUGGAGUUGUGCAGCUGUGAGGGACUGAUAAGGUCUGAGGGUCAUUCUCUCUUCCAGGCAAAGAGGUGUCUUGGCCUUGGUUGAACAAGGCUGUGUUCUGUUGUCCAAUGUAUUUAAAUCCUGGCCCAAUGUUUCUACCAUAUAAGUUCCUGGUUGAGAAACACACACACACUUUAUAUUUACAAUAAGCCUUAAACAGCAAAAUAGUUGGGCAGAUACCACCCUUUGUGUUGUUGGAAUGUAUUUUCCUAUCUAUAACCCUGAGUUAUUAUUUACUGUGUUUCAUCUGGGCUGCUCUUAACUCCAAUUGGUCAGCCCUUAGAGCCAAGUUCUCUUGACUCCUACCCAAUGGUGGCUUCUCUUCCUUUUCCUCCGCUGCUUCCCCCUCAUGGUUCUCCUCUGACCUUAAACCUGGGCAACCUAAACCCCGCCUAUGUCUCUUCUGCCCAGCUAUUGGCUGUUGGCAUCUUUAUCUACCAAUCAGAAAUAACUUGGGGGCAUGGUCUCAGGGACCACGUGCAGACUCCAGGUCUUUGGGGGCCGCACUUAGCAUUAUAAUAGACAAUAAACUCUCAAUAGUGUCCACUUUCUGUUCUCCUUUGCUGAUUUCAAUCUCAGGUGGGGUAGCCUGGUACUGUGGAAAGCUUCCAGAAAAUUCCAUCCUAGAAAGGGGUUCCCACGGAAUGACCCCUUUGACUCACUUAGAAGCCAUUCUCUCAGGAGUCCCUGUUUUAGCUUGUGCAAAACCUUGAUGUAAAUCUCAGAAAGUAAAAGGGGAGGUAGGAGGCUGGAGACCUAAAAGAUUCCCUUUACUUGGCCAUCGUGUUUGUUCUUUUGGUGCCUGGAUUGGUUUACUCACUGGUUCCUAAAUACUUGCUAUGUGCCAGGUGAGGAGCCUGGCAGAGAUGAUUCAAUAAUAGCUCAGUCCCCAAGAGAGAAACCCAUGUAGGGACAGGUGACUACAACCCAGGGAAAGGACGGAUGGGAUGCCCACCCACCCAGAGAGUAUGGGAAGGCUUCCUGGAGUGGGUGUAUUUUGAAACUGAAUCUGUAAAGAGGAUCAGGGUAGACCGUUUGGGGGAGUUAGACUGAGUCUGUAGGCAGGAAGGUAAGCCCGAACAAUGGCAGAGAAGGAAGUCAGAGUCAGGGCUAUACUUGACCUGGCAGGAAACUUUCCCGCUCUCUCCAUAGCCCUUCUCUAUAACCUGUCUUUCCAGUGUUUUGAGACAAUGUCUCAUGUAGGCUAGGCUGCUCCAGAGCUUGCUGUGUAGCUGAGGCUGACCUCAAAUGCCCCAUUCUUCAGCCUCUCCCUCCCAUGCUGGAUUAGAGGCUCCACACCUGGGCCUCACUUGUCAUUUGACCCCUAGCAGUCUCUGGCUUGUCCAGUGACACAUCCAGAAUCUCAAGUGUCUUGGUUACUGUCUCUGAUCCUCAAGAUGGUCCAUAGCAGACUUGUUGUUGUUGUUUUGUUUGCCUCAUCUCUUCAUUCUUCCAUGUUUCCUUCUUGAGUUUCUCCUAUCUUUGAGUGGGAAUCAAUCAGGAUGUCCAGGAAGAAAGAAAGAGGGGAAACACAGGACACCAGGUGUUCUUGGCAGACAGAGAAUGUUAAAGACCCCUGUAGGCAGCUUGUGAGUAUCAGACAUCAAACUUGUGACUCUCCACCUUCCCUAACUCCUAUUCCUGUUACCUUAUUCUCCUCUUUGCUUCUUACUGAGGAGCCCCAACUCAUUUAGGUUUAGUGCAAAUGGCUGAUAAAGAAGGAAAAGUCUUCAAGGAACAUCUCCAAGCUUCUGGGGACGAUCCUGGUCUGAAUGUUUAAGUGUCAGGCAUCCUAGGUCCAGCAAAAGAAUUUGUUUUUAGUGGAGAGGUAGGAGGGGGACUUAGGGUCUCCAUUAUCAUCUCAAAGGUCUCAUAGGUGCUAGUGGAGAGGUAGGAAGGGGACAUAGGGUCUCCAUUAUCAUCUCAAAGGUCUCAUAGGUGCUAGUUAAUCAUUUGGAAGCUCCUUUGCUCUCUGUUGUCUGUAGUUAACCCGGCUCUCUUUGAGGGAUAUGGCUGGAAGUGGAGGAGACUGUGCUCUGUGAGUCAGGAGUAGAGAAAGACGCUCCAGCAGGAGUCUAGCUGUACUUUAUGUUUUCAACGCCAUCCGGUCACUAAAUGUUGGGGAUAUGGACAGUUGGCAGUACCUUCUGUUGACAGAGUUCUUUCUAGAAGGGACCCUUCCAGAAUACAGAUUUUUCUCAAAAGUGAUACCCUGUGUGACUAGACAAAAACCUUAGCUAGCUGACAGUUCCUCUUGGCCAUGGCCCUGCAAGAUCUUGUGGGUUAGAGUUUCUUUAGGAUUUUCCUUUUUGGUCCAGUGAACUUAGAAUAAAAGGAAACUUUUUUUUCUCCCUGUUAUGAUAGUAUUUUUUUUUCCAGGAGGCCUUUGUGGGAAUGUUGGGCACAGGGUUUGGUGGGGGGAAGGGUAGGAAAAAUGAAUACCAAGCCCCAAAGGGGAUAGUGUGGGUUGGGUAGGUAGGGGUUUGUCUGCGUUAUUGGUCCAUGGCGCCCAUCCAGCCUGUGGCCUCUCUCACACAAAGCCAUCGUUCUGAUUAAUGGCAUCCGUGCCUCGGAGGCAUGGAUUGUAUUAGACCUUGUUUAACAGUUCCCUCUAUACAUCCACUUCCCCUGGAAGUGCACCAAAAUAGGAGGAGAGGAAAAAAAGGACUGAGAGAAAGACGCUACAUUUGGACAGGGUAGAAAGGAGAGCCUUUCUUUCUUUUUUUUUCUUCUUCUUUUUUUUCCAUAACUGCUUUCUGUGACUUUCUGGAGGCUUCCAGGCUUUAUCGUCGCAGCGCUCCUCUGGGAGAGCCAGAGGGGAAGUGAAGACAGACAUCUUGGGAAAGAAGAUGGGUUUCCCUGCCAAAACUGGGAGAUGGUGCUGGCUCUCUUGGCUCCUUAGAAACUCCAAGAAAUCUGCUGACAUUUUAAAGGAAAAGAAAGAGAGGCUGGGGUGGAGGGUGGUGAUUUAUGAUGACAUCACGUGUUGCCCCAGCAGAUCCUGUAAGAGGAAAAUGGCUUUUAUAGCGAGCAUGUUGCAAUAAAGAAACACUGAGUCAUGGGGGAGCAUCAUCGAUUGAAAUGCCUUUACUUAUCUGCUUUAUCUACUGCUUCCCUGGACCCAACCAGAGACCGUGGCAGCCUCCGGGGCCUUGCUGCAAAGAGUCCUGAGGCUUAGGAGCCUGAGCCCAGCCUGAAUUCAGAUUCUGCAUGCUAUUUCCCUCUGUUCAACGUCUUCCUGAUGACACCUAUUACAUCUGGUGUUGCUCCUAGCUUCCUGUCACGUGCAGGUGUAUUACAUCCUAUGUGUAUGUGCACACACACACUCAUGAGGGUGUGUGUUGGGGCUGGGUUAUGCAUCAUGAGGUAGGCAGUAGAGGAGGGGGCUGUGAGAGGAACCAGCAGUGUCUUUGCUUGGCUUAGAGCUACAGAACAAUGCGGGGCUCAUGGAAAGAUGGGGCAUGGUGUCCAUGCUUGUGCUGUAAAGACUGGAUAGGUUGAUGUAGCUUAUGGGAACAAGAGGCAUGCUAAGGUGUGUGCCAUGCUAACCACUCACAGGAUACCAACACUAAACCACGGUGACAGAAGGGUCCUGGAGACUUGUUUGCAAGAGUUCUACCUUCCUCAUUCUUGGGUGUGACCUCUCCUUUUGCAUGAUGAACUUUUUCAUCUUUCUCAAGAUUCGAGUGCCUUCUUGCUUUUGUUAUUGUUGUUGUUGUUUACUUUUGUUUUUCCUCUAUCAACAUGGUCUGAGGACCAGGUCUGAAAACUUUUCAGAUGAAGGCCAAGUUGUCAGAAUAAUUUCUGAUAUGUGUUUGCAUACCAGUGAGGGUCAAAGCAUAAAGCUAGAGGGUAAAAAUCUUCCAGAGAAGUUCUGGCCAUUAGGAGGAGGGAAUCUGGGUGUGUGAUAGAGACUGGGGUCUAUAGGAGGGGGGGCGCCUGGGUGUGUGAUAGAGACUGGGGUCUAUAGGAGGGGGGUGUGUGAUAGAGACUGGGGUCUAUAGGAGGAAGGACCUGGGUGUGUGAUAGAGACUGGGGUCUAUAGGAGGGGGGCCUGGGUGUGUGAUAGAGACUGGGGUCUAUAGGAGGGGGGCCUGGGUGUGUGAUAGAGACUGGGGUCUAUAGGAGGGGGGGGACCUGGGUGUGUGAUGGAGACUGGGGUCUAUAGGAGGAGGGUGUGUGAUAAAGACUGGGGUCUAUAGGAGGGGGGGCCUGGGUGUGUGAUAGAGACUGGGGCUCUGUUUGAGGAACAGGUGAAUGGUUGUGCAAUUAUGUUGGAAUGCCAUCUUUUCUUCUCUCAGUUUGCUGUGCUUGGAUCUCACUUCUGUGGAGGAGAUCCUCCUUAUUGGCUCCCUUGGAUCUGAGCAUCCCCUUUGCUGUUUCCCUGGAACUGUCAGGUCCCUGGAGGGCAUAAGUUUGGGAGUCUUUGAAAAGUUUGGGAGUCAUGAGAAGGGCAGUUAUUUCCAGAGUCAUGGUUAGGACAUCCUUAGACCUUGAGUUUUAGGGGACCAGAACAGGCAAUGUCAAGUUUUUCUAUACUCUGGAAGGAUCCAGUCCAGGUUGGAGAGGAUUUGAUUAAUCAGCCUGGCCCUGCAUGUUCAUGGUAUGGUAGUGCUAUUGUCCCCAGUUGUGGGGUCAGAGGCUCACCCCUGGGCACUGUGCUUUGAGCGGAGAGGUUGGCUUCAUCCUGGAGAAAUGGUCUAUCAUAUUUAUGCUCUUGGUGUCUGCUGGACACAAGCAUCUCUUUUUCAGUCUUUAAAAUGACCAGAGGCGAUGGCCGCUGGUGCUGGCAAACCUCUCGUAAUCAUGUCACUCCAGUUUUCUUUCUUGAGUUCUGAUGCAGAAGCUAUGAGGUCACAGUGACCCCCCCACCUCUGUGAUCAAGACAAAGUCCCAAUUCUAUCCAAAAAGUCAUACUUCUUAUACUGCAUAUAUCCUGGUUGUUGGGGGAGUUGAAUUUUGGGUAAGAGGCUGGCUUUUUGAACUGUCAGCAGCUGUGGGAUGUCAGUCUUACCAUAAUCCUUUCACUACAGGGCACUAGGAAACCAUGCUUGGGCAUCACAGCACCCGACUUGCAGAGUCAGCAUUGGAACUUGGUUUGGUCUGUUCCAAGACUCUGGUACCCAACCAAGCUCAUGCUCAGCUAAUGGUACCCAUAUUGUUUUGAGUUCUGCUGUUUUUCACUUAACAUGUCAAAAGCAUUUUUUCUGUGUUUCUAUAGUGUUCACGAUAAUCUUUUUAAAUGACUACACGAUUUCUCUCCCCGAGCUGAUGUUCUCUAAAUGUAAACCAGCCCUCGAAAUAUUGAAUGUUUACUUCUCAUCUCUUUGAUGUUGGAAAUGGAGCAGGGGGUUCUGAGUUCCCUUUCUGUCCCCCCCCCAAAGAAGCAAUUAGCCCAGCGCUGAUGGAGCUUGUGGGGGGCUCCAGGUUGUGUGCGGAUCCCUAUGUCAGGAAGGUUCAUGGGAGGAGAGAGUGGCUCAUUGUCCUUGAUUCUUGGUCUUGAUUCGAGCCAGACUUGGCUGCUGGGUCCUUGACCCCCCUUCCUUGGGGGAGGACCCGAAUCAUCUGACAGCCGGUCCCUUCUGUCUCACUCCUUUGCACACCUUAGUCUCCAGGCCCUAGUCCAUUCUCUGCCUGGAAUGUUCCUUGCUUUCUCUCUCUCCCAGUUUCUCGCUGCCAAAUCUGCUUUACCUUUUAAACCUCACUCCCCCCAACAGCUUGCCCAGUGUCAGUGUCUUCCUGUACCAAAUUGCCUGAAACCACCCCACCCCACCUCACAGCAGCUUAGGUGCUGAUAAGGGAACUUUUACUGCUCUAAACUAAGGAAAGAAACAAGGGGGCCAACCCCCACCCAUGCCCUCAACCCCACCCAUGCUCUUGACCCCUACCCGUGCCUUCACCGUGUUUCAGACUGUCUUCCACUCUACUCCCAUUAGUUCUUAGGACCCUUGGUGGCACAAAUCAUUGCUUUCCCCUCACAGUGAAGCGAUCUGCUCAGUUGUCAAAGUGUGGCACUGAUUCUCAUGUAAGCUGCACUGCUCUCCAAUGGCGGGGUCCAUUGCUUAAACUUUCCUUGCUCUUCGGUGUCCAGUGUUUUGUGCAAGACACAGAGUAGGUGCCCAUUAAGUGCUCGCUGAGCUGCACACCGGACAGUCUCUUUUGUGGGGCGGUGGUGGUAAGAAUUCCCCCGGCACACUGCUGAAUCAGGAGGGGAAAAUGUAGUCAGCCCUUCACUCAGCCUGUGCUUUUCACUCCAAAUGCUGAUCUCUGCAGUUUAGCAGGGGUCAGGCAAUGACAGGAGGCGGAGAAGAGGAAAAACAUCUUGAAGCUGCCUCCUGCUCCAAGCUAGAGCAAAGCUCCACAUCUGGUCCUUGUCUUCAUCCUUUAGUUUCUCUCUUCUGCUGAGGUCCUAACAGCAGGCAAGAUGAAGCACGGCCAGCUACCAGAGGGAGGUGCUCGGCGCUUGGUGGCCCCAGGCUCAGGGGCUGCAGCUUGAGGUGGGGGUGGGAAGGAGCAUCUUGGGUUUAUGCAGCUCAGGUGUGCCCAGGACAAGGCUUGGCCUCUGUAACCUUGAAGUUUGCACCCGUUUUAUUUGUGCUAGACCAAGACAGUUGUUCUCUACACCGGGCGUUUUAAGAAAGCUUCUGGAAGCUGUGAGGACUUGAGAAGAGGUAUGGGACUGGAUGUAAAGCACAGUGGGGGCCCAAUCAGAGGUCCCCCCAUAAAGCAGCAGCAGAUAUGGUGCUUCCACGGAGACCAGCACCAUAUGCCUUGUGAUAGAGUUAGGCUGUGAGCUUCAGGAGCCACACAGACAGGAGUAGAGGGGGCGGCUGGCAAGCUAAAGGGACCGUAGAGAUAGGCAUUUUAUGGAGAGAUGUUAGCGAAUAUCACACAGGCAAACAUGUUUGGCAAUGCUAGAUUUCCCAAAGUUCAAUGCUUUCUCAAUUUCAGAAUUUCUCAGAGCCCUCUACUGACAUUACCAGGAAGCCUGGGUUUAGAGAUAGGAGUUGAGGGUGUAUCUUCAGUGUGGUCUCUGGUGCAGGAACCCAGGCAAGGUCCUUGGAUUCAAGUCUGAAUUUCAUGUGCAUUUCUCACUACAAGGUUGGAAAAGCUGCAGCUCAAUUUCCUCUCUUAGGAAAUGCUGGCUCAGAGGGCAAAGUGAGGUGAUUCCUGCAGACUGCUCAUCUAGUGUCUAGCUUAUAGUAACUGUUCAGUGUAUGGUAGUAGCUAGACUAUUUGUGCCCUCAUGAUCUGGGCCCCCAUCACCAGUAACCAUGGAGACUUUGCCUUAAAGCACAGAAAACGGGUUCUGUUCCCUACUAACAUCAGCAUCACCUGGGAGUUAGUUGGAAAUGUAAACUCCUGGGCUGUUUGUUGCCCCUACUGAGUUUCAGACUCAGUAGAGCUGGGAUGAGGUCCAAGAGUCCCGAUCUCCACAGCACCAGUGUUAUUUAUAUUAUACACAUAUUUGUAUCGCAUGCUGUUUAUCCAGACAUAUGGCCACCUCUCAUGCUAGCCGAUGCUUCCUUACCCAGGAUCCCUCUGAAGUCAGGCAUGUGGGGGUGAGCUUAUGGCUAGAUGAGAAAUGGGAAGGGAGUAAUGUUUUCUCUUUAAGCCAGUCUUGCUUGGUUGAGUACAUAUUAUAGUCUAUCUGGACCACUGUAACAAAAUACUGCAGGCUGGAUGGCUUGUCAAUGCUUUUCUCACCAGUUUGGAAACUGGAAAGUGUAAGAUCAAAAUGGUGCAGAUCGUAUCUGAUGAGGGCUCACUUUUUAGGUAGCUGUCUCUGUACUCUCACAUGUUAGAAGGGGUAGGGGUGGGUCCCAGCUCUUAUGAGUAUACUGACCCAUCUGUGAAGUUCCACUUCCCCAUUGGGUAACGACAGGAGUAAGGAUUUUAAAUUAUGAAUUUGAGGGGUAGGUGGAGGCAAAAACAUAGACCAUAGCAGGACUGGUCAAACUUUGUGAGUACAGGAGACUGUCAGUCAGGUGACUUUGGGCCAGGGGUCAAGGUUAGUCAAAGUGAGACAUGCACUAAGCCUUUAUCGUGUUAUAUCAUUUUUAUGUGUUGUGUGCAGGUGUGUACAUAUAAGUAUAGGCACACAUGUGUCAUGGAACAUAUGUGAAGGUCAGAGGGCAGCUUUCAGGAGUCAGUUAUCACCUUCUACCUUGCUUUGAGACAGCAUCUCUCUUGUUAUUUUCUUUACCUGGAACUUAAGGCUAGUUGGCCCCAAACUUGUAGGUGUUUCUCUCGUCUCUGCCUCCAGUCUCACCACAGGAGUACUGGUAUUACAGAUACACACUACCAUAUCUAAAUAUUUUUAAAACGUGGAUUCCAGGGCACGCACUUUUACCUACUGAAUCAUUUCCCCAGCUCGCUCCUCCUUUUGGAGACACGGUCUCACGUAGCCUAGGCUGACUUUCUGUCCACUACAUAGCCAGAGAUGAUCUUGAAUUUCUGAUUCUCCUACUUUUACCUGCCAUAUGCUAGGAUGACAGACAUGUGCCACAUUAAAUAAGAACAUUUCAUGUUGCACCUUGUCCUAUCUUAUGAGGGCUGGUCUCUUGUAUUGGAUUGUAAGAUUCCUAUGUGUACAUGUGACAUGGUCGUUAAUGAAUUUGUUAACAUGGCUUUGAGGAUGAUCACUACCUAUAGGAAUUGUUCUUUGUUGUCUGCCAUAUCUUGACAUUUGGUUACCUGCAUAUUCAAUGGUAAAUGCACAGUUACUAUAAGGUACUCUGUCUACCAGACUGCUCAUCAAAGUGGGAAUGAAUUCUUUUAUAUCUAGCCUAGCACCUGGCAAGCAGUCUUGCUAUAAUAACAACAGCAGCAAACAACAAUAACAACAACAGCAGCAGCAACACUAAAAACAACUCUCUUGAAACCCCUUAAAUAUCUUCUGGGUUUAUCAGAACACUUUACCAUCCCCUGGCCAUAGCUUUCAAUUUUCUUUUGUGGGUCUUAUUUCCUUCUUUCUGUGUUUUCUAUGAGAUGUUUCUCCCUGAGAACCAUCUGGGAAGCCUCCUUGGAGGUUAUUAUAGGUGUAGUGUGACUUUGGGGGGACAGUUAGAGCUAUUGGUGGGAUCCAGCACUUUGGAGACAGCAAGACCCAGGCAGAUGCAAUGGAGUAGCAGAGGAAGCCAGAGUAGGUCUCUUAGCUUCAAGCUUUGCCUCCCAGUGUUAAGGGGAUUUUUCUGAGAGGUCACUGGAUCAACAAGUCCUCCCCUUAGUCAAGUGAAGAGUCUUUUUUUCCCUAAGGAAACCCUUAAGAACCUCUGAAGUCCAUUGUUUCAGAUAAUUCAUGGUUUGCUAUCCAGGCUCCUUUAAAGUACAAAGAGCCCAAAAUACAAACCUAUCUCCUCACAAUAGAAUCUACUCUUGUUAUGGAAAUCCUAGGGAUUUUACAUUAUAAUACUCACCUAUCAGGCAUGGAGAGAAAUGAAACUUCUCUCUGUCAUUGCACUUGAGGUGUCCCUGCUGUCUGAAAGUGAGCCCAAAGCAGGAGGUGUCAGCCAAUCCCUUGCCUAGUAAACGAUGAACCACUGCACACAAUGGCUUACUAACUCCUCCCUCUAAGGCAGUGCUUUUAAAUGUUUUUAUCCUGAAGGAAGGCGUAGGUGUUGAAAGUGAUUUUUGGUUAUGUUUUUCUGAGGUGGUCUAAGACCGCGUUUAAGGAAGAGCCCCCCCCCCCCCCUCCCAAUACAGUUGACUUCUGCUUGAACUUGGGUGGAAGCAUUUGGACAUUCCCACACUUCCCCAGAAAUCUCUGUUCUGGCCCACCACAGUGGAUCUCAGGAGUUUUGUGUGUGUGUGUGUGUGUGUGUGUGUGUGUGUGUGUGUGUGUGUGUGUGUCCCUAGGUUGAGAGUGAAGCAUGAGGUUCAAGUCUUUUCUGAUUUCCGUUUGAAGACCAACAUGACAAAGUUAGACUGACUACAAAUAACAAUAGCAUCACUGCUUAUCAGUAUGGGUCUCAGGCAGAAACAUCAGGGUUUGUGUGGACCUAUACACGGCCAGGGAAUGUAGACCGAUUGUUUCUCUGGAGACAGCUGUGGGGGUGGACUCCUACCCCAGUUAUGUGCAGACUCAGCCUUCCACUUCCUCCCCAAAUUUGUUCCUGUCUCCUUUAUCUCAGCGAAUGGUUUCCCAACCCUCCCCGCAUCCCGAGUGAGUUCCAAUCUAAGUUCAUACUCUUACUGUUGCUCUUGGUGCUCCCACUUCCACCCCUCCAGCCUUGCCAACAAAGCAGUUAGUGAGAAUCAAGGUCAGAUCCAAGUUGUCCCUGCUCAGAACUAGUAGCUGUAGAGUAGCUGUAGAACUUGGGUCAACAUCCUGACCAUGAGGGCCUUUUUUGUUUGUUUGUUUGUUUGUUUGUUUAGCUUAGCUGAAGUUCUCUUAAUCUCUAGCCAAGUGGACUGACUGUGUCUUGUGUUCUUUCUUUUCUGACACAGGGUCUCAUGUAGCCCAGGCUGGCCGUAGACUUACUACAUUGUAGAGAAUGACUUUGAAUUUCUGGUCUUCCUGCCGCUACCUCCUCAGAGCUGGGAUUUACAGCUCUGUGCUGUUAUGCCUGGUUUAUUCAAUGCUCCAGAUCAAAGCCAGGAUCCUGGACGUGCUAAGCAAGCGAUUUGCCAUCUGAGCUUCCUCCCUAGCCCUUUGUGUUUUUCUAGCUCUUGGUCUUUGUUUGUGUAUUCCCUCGAGGUGGUUUGCCAAGGCAAGAGUACCACAGGCUGGGUAGUUUAGGAGCUAUAGAUAUUCAUGGUCUCAUAUUUCUGUAGGUUCCACAUAUAAGGUGCAGGCAGGGCUGUUCUCUCUCAGAGCCUCUCCUUGGCUUGAAGGUGGCCAUCUUCUUGUGUCCUCACAGACAGCGUUUUCUGUGUGUCUGCCUAUGCUCUAAGCUCAUCUUCUUAUGAGUCCAACAGGCUGAUAUCUCCACUUUUGCUUGACUGCCUUUUAAAAAGACCUGUUUGUGAGUGCAGUCACAGUGGAAGUCCUGGUGGUUAGGAUCACAAAACAUAUUGUUUGGGGGGGAUCUUGGAGGGGGUGUAUGGAUUACAAUUAAACCUAUAACACCUGUCCCCUAGGAAAAAAUCCUGUUUUUACCUCUGCUUGUCAUAUGUGUACGCUCAGGGUCUGAUCAGGGCGAUCUGAGUCUGUCUUUCCAGAACUGCCAUUCUCCCUAUCCUUGUACAGGACUUCCUGGCAGCCCUAAGUCUCCAGAGCCUGCCACAGCAGCCCCAGGG